CUCCAGCCUCUGCCAGCGCGGGUUGCCCCCCACCCUCCCGCGCUUGGCUAGGGGCCGCAGCCCCCCUGGGCUCCUAGUGCCCAGGGGGGCUCCGAUCCUCGCACGAUAGGUGCCACGAUAGGUGCCACGUGCGCGCAAAGCUAUCCUUCUGGAGCAGCAGGCGACGACCGACACGGAGGCCAGGAGCAGGCGGUGGUGGCGAGAAUCAGGCGCAUGGCGUCCUCCAGGUCCUCCAGGGUUGUAAUGACAUAAUACCAAGAAAUAAAGACUCUGGAAAACUGACCUUUCACCUAUGGAAGAUAUGAACACCUUGAGGGUAGGGGUACAAGGCGAAGCUUUCACCAGCUCCCUAUGGGACCUGAGCUGCGGUAGAGACCUGCCUGCUCCUUCGUCCCCACCAUCCCCAUAGCCCCUCUGCAGCGAGUUCGGAUGGCUACUGCAGAGGAGGCACCUUGUCUCGGCAUCUGCUCCGUUCCUCGGCAUCAGCUCCCUUCCUCGCACUCACUGGCUUGGAGAUCUGGUUCUGUGAUUCCCUCAAAGAAGUUUACCUCAGCAUUUGGGCUAUGCUAGGGUGGCUUGGGGGCAGCGGACUGAGCGAGCUGGUGGACUCAAACAUUCAGGCAAACUGGUUGAUUUGUAGACAAAACAUCCAGAUGCUUUUUCAUAAUUGAACUUUCAACCAAACUGACUAAAUGCUUUGGUGUCAAGACGACAAAAGCUCAAGUCAGAAAAGGGCACCAGAAUAGGAAAUGUGUAGCCGAAGAGCCCUAAGAAGAGCACAACAUGCUACAGAUUUCUAGCAAUGAAAAUAUGAGUUUUUAGGUUGUGCUUAAAUGACUCAAAAUUUACAAGAGUGAAGCGACAAAUGAAAGAGUGGGUCUUUGGGGUUAUAUUAUCCUUAUUUAUUCGGCUUUGCUGCUGCCAGGAAGCAGCUGAGAGCCCUUCUUUUCU
rnacentral:lncRNA from 1 species